GGUCUGAGGGAGGGUCAAACGCGAUACGGCCCUCUGCCGUGUUCGUCUGCUUGUCAGACACCUGCCUGGAUUAAGCCGCCGGCUCUCCUCUCCGUUGUGCGCAGCGUAAACCCUCAAAGGAUUUGAUGUCUUCGGUUCUAUUGAAUGAGACGUAUUCUUUUCAGGAAUCGUCUUGCAGGAAGCUGUCCUGAAGUGAAGAGGAGAAAACUGAACAUAUUCCCGGGCACUGCGGGCCAGCUGGCUGAAAGGAUUCCACACUUUUUCUACCCCUUACAACAAAAGGACAAAUUUGACGAUUGAUGCAGUUGCGAUGCACCAUAAAGAGGGAAACAGCCAAAACAGACAAGUUUACGUACAAAACAAGCGCUGAAAUUACCCUGCGUUUAUUGAAACACAUCCAAGAA